GGACCGGUGGCUCAGCUUGGUAGAGCAUCUGCCUUUUAAGCAGAGGGUCGCGGGUUCAAAACAAGACGAAGGUUUGCCUUUGUUUGUGAAUGUCCCGUCCGGUCCA
rnacentral:tRNA from 1 species